GCCAACGUCCAUACCACGUUGAAUACACCGGUUCUCGUCCGAUCACCGAAGUUAAGCAGCAUCGGGCGCGGUCAGUACUUGGAUGGGUGACCGCCUGGGAACACCGCGUGACGUUGGCU
rnacentral:rRNA from 1 species